rnacentral:rRNA from 1 species
AGAAUCAACGCUGGCGGCGUGCCUAACACAUGCAAGUCGAACGCGAAAGUCCCGCAAGGGAUGAGUAGAGUGGCAAACGGGUGAGUAACACGUGGGUGACCUGCCCUCGAGCGGGGGAUAACGUCCCGAAAGGGACGCUAAUACCGCAUGACAUCCUGCUUUUGAACAGGCGGAGAUCAAAGCUGGGGAUCGCAAGACCUAGCACUCGAGGAGGGGCCCGCGCCUGAUUAGCUAGUUGGUGGGUAACGGCCUACCAAGGCGACGAUCAGUA